rnacentral:rRNA from 1 species
UGUUUAUCAAAAACAUAGCUUAUUGAAUUAUAUUUUAAGUGACUUCUGCUCAAUGAAUAAAACUUAAAUAGCCGCAGUACACUGACUGUGCUAAGGUAGCAUAAUAAAUUGUCUUAUAAUUGAAGUCUAGAAUGAAAGGAAAUUUGAGUAAGUCCUAUAUAAGUUUAAUUGCUUUUAACUUUUUUUAUCAAGUGAAAAGACUUGAAAUAAAAUAAUAGACGAGAAGACCCUAGAAAUUUUAAUUAAUGAUAAUUUAAUUAGUAUAUAUUUUUGUUGGGGCGACAAAAUAGCAAUUGUGAACCUAUUUUUUAAGAUAUAAAUAAGAAAAAUCAUUUUUAGUAAGAAAAAAUUACUCUAGGGAUAACAGCAUAAUUUAUUAUUAAGUUUGUGACCUCGAUGUUGGAUUAAGAAUAAUAUUUAUUAAAAAUAAAUAUUAUAGGUUCUGUUCGAACUUAAUUUCUUACAUGAUCUGAGUU